ACUCUUAUAGUUUAAAAAAAACCAUUGAUCUUCAACCAAUAAUUAGAGAAAACUCUUAAGAAAA
rnacentral:tRNA from 1 species